AUACUUACCUGGCUUGGGAGAUACCAUGAUCACAAAGGUGGUUUUCCCAGGGCAAGACUUAUCCAUUGCACUCUGGAUGUGCUGACCCCUGCGAUUUCCCCAAAUGUGGGAAACUCAACUGCAUAAUUUGUGGUAGUAGGGCACUGUGUUUGUGCUUUCCCCUG
rnacentral:snRNA from 1 species